rnacentral:rRNA from 1 species
AUUGAACGCUGGCGGCAUGCCUUACACAUGCAAGUCGAACGGUAACGCGGGGCAACCUGGCGACGAGUGGCGAACGGGUGAGUAAUGUAUCGGAACGUGCCCAGUUGUGGGGAUAACUACUCGAAAGAGUAGCUAAUACCGCAUACGACCUGAGGGUGAAAGCGGGGAUCGCAAGACCUCGCGCAAUUGGAGCGGCCGAUAUCAGAUUAGCUAGCUGGCGGGGGUAAAAGCCCACCAAGGCGACGAUCUGUAGCUGGUCUGAGAGGACGACCAGCCACACUGGGACUGAGACACGGCCCAGACUCCUACGGGAGGCAGCAGUGGGGGAAUUUUGGACAAUGGACGCAAGUCUGAUCCAGCCAUGCCGCGUGCGGGAAGAAGGCCUGGUGUAACGCUUGUCAGGGAAGGAAACGGCUCGGGUUAAGUACCUUGGGUCGUAAUGACGGUACCGU